rnacentral:rRNA from 1 species
AUUGAACGCUGGCGGCAGGCCUAACACAUGCAAGUCGAACGGACUCUUCGGAGUUAGUGGCGGACGGGUGAGUAACACGUGGGAACGUGCCUUUAGGUUCGGAAUAACUCAGGGAAACUUGUGCUAAUACCGAAUGUGCCCUUCGGGGGAAAGAUUUAUCGCCUUUAGAGCGGCCCGCGUCUGAUUAGCUAGUUGGUUGGGGUAAUGGCCCACCAAGGCGACGAUCAGUAGCUGGUCUGAGAGGAUGACCAGCCACAUUGGGACUGAGACACGGCCCAAACUCCUACGGGAGGCAGCAGUGGGGAAUCUUGCGCAAUGGGCGAAAGCCUGACGCAGCCAUGCCGCGUGUAUGAUGAAGGUCUUAGGAUUGUAAAAUACUUUCACCGGUGAAGAUAAUGACUGUAGCCGGAGAAGAAGCCCCGGCUAACUUCGUGCCAGCCGCCGCGGUAA